UGGGAGCCUGGUGGGUGGGGGGCAGGAGUAAAUGGGUGGCCCCUCAAUAGUUGCAGCCCUGCACAUCCCUUGGGAAGGAGCAGGGGCAGGGGAUGCUCUCCCUGCUGCAGGAUUCUUCUGAACCGCGACGUAAUUGGUUUUAUCCAAAAGGGCUUUAAGCAGGAGCUUCUAUUGGCUUCAUUGGUAACUGUCACCUAAAUCCCUUUAAAAAUCGAGCCCAGGGUGCCCAACCAUUCCGUGCUCACUUCAGCUCUGUUUGUUUUGCCGAAGGGCUGUCUCUGUGCAGGAGGUGGGAAGGGCUGAUCUUCCUCAGUCCCAGUCACUGACCUUUUCCAUUUCCAGCAGCACAAGAGCAAAGGCAAGUUUUGAGCUGUGCAUCCAGAGAGCAAUUGGUGCCCCAGGGAGUGCCGUUGGCUUGCACUCUGCUUUUGAAAUGAGGAAAGCACGACGGUGCCACACAGCCCCUUAACACUGAGCUGGGGAGAGAUUUCCAUCUUCUGUCCCUGGAGAAGAAUGGAAAAUCCCAAAGGCGACUGCAGCUUGGAUCUGGCUCACUCACUGCAUCAGUGGGAGCAAAGGGACGGGUCCGUGGUCCCUUUGCUCACCCCAUCACCGAGCUGUUUUAAUUACAAAUGAGCACAGGCGGCGAGGGACUCCGCUCCAUCCUUCACAGCACAGCAAGGGCCUGAUCUCUGCUGAAGCUUUUACCUGCCUGAAGAAAUAAUCACACUCCACGCUUUUCAUUUCAUUCCCUCUGACUAGCUCUGCUUGCUUUGUAUUCUCUUUGGAGCCGAUUCCAAUCCCUUCGCCUCAUACAACAAGCGCCAUGGGCAAGGGUUUGAGCUCCAGAAUGCUUUGGUUUUGCUGCAAACAUUAACAAACAAAAUCCGGGUGGAUUUGUCUGUGAAUAGGAUGUGAUGGCAGUCCCUGAGGGGCCACACUCCUGCCCAUUUGUCCUAAUAAAUGUGUGUUCACUUUGGCUACCUGGGGAUGCCGGGAUUAGCUGUGUGUCUGCUGAGAUAAUGCAGCGCUGUCUUCUCUACCAAAGCUCAGUUUUCAUCCUGG
rnacentral:lncRNA from 1 species